rnacentral:snoRNA from 1 species
CCCAGCUGAAGUCAGCUGCCUAGGUUACACUGGACCUAGGCAAGUGUUAACGCUGCUGGGAGAAGAGUAUCUAAUAGCUGGCAAGCAUCCAGGGCCUGGUUAAUGCCAAAUCUGUAUUAACUAUGCCAGUGUGCCAGCAUCGUUGCCUGUUUUAUUUUUUUUUUCAAGAUAGGUGAAGGGCAGAUGUCGCCACUCUGGCACACAGG